AAAAGGGUCUUAUAAUUAGGGACGGAGGGAGUACUUCAAAAGAUACUGAAGUACUCAUUACUACCCUACUUUAAAAGAUACCCAA
rnacentral:pre_miRNA from 1 species